GUUCAUCCCUGGGACACUCCUUAGAAUGCAGUCAUCAUGCAAUUCGAAACCCAGGUCACAUGGCAAGCUUCCAGCUUACAGCCUGCAACCUGAAGCCCAGCUGAAUUUACACAUGGCAAAACUGCCCAGCUGAUACCUGUAAACCUACAGAUUCAUGCGAGAGAAAUGCAUAUUGUUAGCCGAGGAUGGUUGCUCAUGCCUGUAAUCUCAGUGCUUUGGGAGGCCAAGGUGACAGGAUCGCUUAAGGCCAGGAGUUCAAGAGCAGCCUGAUCAACAUGGUGAUAACCCGUCUGCAAAAAUAAAAAAUAAAAUUGCGACCAGGCAUGGUGGCUCACGUCUGUAAUCCCAGCACUUUGGGAGGCCGAGGUGGGCGGAUUGCCUGAGAUCAGGAGUUCGUGACCGGCCUAGGCAACACGGUGAAACCCCAU
rnacentral:lncRNA from 1 species